GAAUCGUGGAUUCCUCUGCAAAGAGAAGGUCCAUUUUACACAUUUCACAAACACUUGUGCACUUUGUUCUUUUCUUUUUAUAACUCUUUGCAAAAAAAAGUUAAUUCUUUUCUUUUCGGGUUGUUAUAUUAGGAAAUUAACUUUUUAAACACUUGUGACAAAUUUUAAAAGUCAAUAAUGUAAACCUAUGAUAAUGAAAGUAAAACUUUCAGCAAUGGAUCUCUUGGCUCU
rnacentral:misc_RNA from 1 species